AGAGUUUGAUUAUGGCUCAGAACGAACGCUGGCGGCAUGCCUCAUACAUGCAAGUCGAACGAGAUCCUCGGACCUAGUGGCGCACGGGUGAGUAACAUGUGGGAAUCUGCCUGAAGGUUCGGAAUAACUGCGGGAAACUGUAGCUAAUACCGGAUGUGUCUGAAAAGAGAAAGAUUUAUCGCCUUCAGAUGAGCCCGCACUAGAUUAGCUAGUUGGUGAGGUAAUUGCUCCACCAAGGCUACGAUCUAUAGCUGAUUUGAGAGGAUGAUCAGCCACACUGGGACUGAGACACGGCCCAGACUCCUACGGGAGGCAGCAGUAGGGAAUAUUGGACAAUGGGGGAAACCCUGAUCCAGCAAUGCCGCGUGAGUGAAGAAGGCCUUCGGGUUGUAAAGCUCUUUCAUCAAUGAUGAUAAUGACAUUAGUUGAAGAAGAAGCCCCGGCUAACUUCGUGCCAGCAGCCGCGGUAAUACGAAGGGGGCUAGCGUUGUUCGGAAUCACUGGGCGUAAAGCGUAUGUAGGCGGAUCAAAAAGUUAGAUGUGAAAUCCCUGGGCUCAACCCAGGAACUGCAUUUAAAACUAGUGAUCUAGAAUUUGGUAGGGGUUAGUAGAAUUUCCAGUGUAGAGGUGAAAUUCGUAGAUAUUGGAAAGAAUACCAGUGGCGAAGGCGACUAACUGGGCCAUUUUUGACGCUGAGAUACGAAAGCGUGGGUAGCAAACAGGAUUAGAUACCCUGGUAGUCCACGCAGUAAACGAUGAGUGCUAGUCGCUGGGACAAUAGUUUCAGUGUCGAAGCUAACGCAUUAAGCACUCCGCCUGGGAAGUACGGUCGCAAGAUUAAACUCAAAUAAA
rnacentral:rRNA from 1 species